rnacentral:rRNA from 1 species
AUGGCACAGGCGCUGAACAAGCUUGGAAUCCUCUACUGCCACAUGGUGGAACCGCGGAUGGUGAAUAUUGGAGAAAAACUCGAAACCCCGCACAGCCUUCACGCCAUGAGGGAUGCUUUCAAGGGAACAUUCAUCGUGGCUGGUGGAUAUGGUAGGGAUGAUGGAGAUAAAGCGAUCGCCGAUGGCUAUGCUGAUUUGGUUGCAUUUGGGCGCUUGUUUUUGUCCAAUCCGGACUUGCCCCGGAGGUUUGAGAUAGAUGGUCCUCUCAACAAGUACAAUAGAGAUACUUUCUACCUCUCUGAUCCAGUUAUUGGAUACACUGACUACCCAUUUCUACCGUCCGAUGUCUGA